rnacentral:rRNA from 1 species
GCGGAGGAAAAGAAAAUAACCAUGAUUUCCCUAGUAACGGCGAGUGAAGAGGAAAAAGCUCAGAGUUGGAACCUGCUUGCCUUAGGUUAGCCGGAUUGUAAACUGUAGACAUGUCUUCCAUACACGCACGGUGAUUAAGUCCUUUGGAACAGGGCAUCAUAGAGGGUGAGAAUCCCGUUUAUGGCCGUAGUUGUUGUUGUUGUGUUGCGUGUUCAAAGAGUCAGGUUGUUUGGGAAUGCAGCCUAAAUUGGGUGGUAAAUCUCACCUAAAGCUAAAUAUUUACGAGAGACCGAUAGCGAACAAGUACCGUGAGGGAAAGAUGAAAAAUACUUUGAAAAGAGGGUUAAACAGUAUGUGAAAUUGUUAAAAGGGAACCGUUUGGAGCCAGACUGGCUUGUUUGUAAUCAAUCUACGCUUCGGUGUGGAUGCACUUGCAGACAUUGCCUGCCAACGACAAUUUUGCCUGGGAGAAAAAGCGAGAUCGAAUGUGGCCUAUCCUUCGGGAUGGGUGUUAUAGCGAUUUUGAAAAUAUCCUGGGCGGGAUUGAGGAUCGCAGCGAAUGCCUUUAGGUUUUGAUAUGUUGAUGCUUGCGUCGAUUGAUGCUAGAAUUUCUGCUUCGGGUGGUGCUAGUGUCCUGAGAUGUGACCCGUUGAUAAUACUCUUAUUCGCUUAGGUUGUUGGCUUAAUGACUCUAAAUGAC